AUGAAUGCUGGCGGCGUGCCUAACACAUGCAAGUCGAGCGGCAGCGAGGGGUGCUUGCACCCUGUCGGCGAGCGGCGAACGGCUGAGUAACGCGUAGGAAUUUGCCCCAAAGUGAGGAAUAACUGCCCGAAAGGGUAGCUAAUGCCGCAUAUGGUCUUCGGAUUAAAGGAUUUAUCCGCUUUGGGAGAAGCCUGCGUUGGAUUAGGUUGUUGGUAGGGUAAUGGCCUACCAAGCCGACGAUCCAUAGCUGGUCUGAGAGGAUGAUCAGCCAGACUGGAACUGAGACACGGUCCAGACUCCUACGGGAAGCAGCAGUGAGGAAUCUUCCACAAUGGGCGAAAGCCUGAUGGAGCAACGCCGCGUGAAGGAUGAAGGCCUUCGGGUUGUAAACUUCUUUUAUGAGUGAAGAAUAUGACGGUAACUCAUGAAUAAGCACCGGCUAACUACGUG
rnacentral:rRNA from 1 species